CUGGGGAUGAGGAUAUCUGGCUGAGUGGAGACACUUCACGGGCUGGGAGCAGCUCGGCUACAGGCGAUAGUCCCAGGAAGGUGAUUACAGCUGGAGGAAUGCUAAACAGUCCACCUUUCCUUGUCAUGGUGUUUAAGCACAUUGUCCUCCUGCCUGAACAGAGGAAAUCACUGAGAUAAAUAAAUGUGUUCCUUGCUCUGCACUUAUGAUUGUCCCAUGCAUCAAGGGAGUGGUUUUAUCUGUUAAGAAACUGGGAAACGGUGGCAUAAGAAGAAGUACUUGCCAAGGUCAUAUGGGAAGCCAGUGUCAGAGGCAUAAACAGAAUCUCAGCUUUCUGACUGUCCCACUCUACCCUCUGGGCAACCAGACCAAAGUGGAAAAGUGGCUUGCAGUGUGACUCAACAGCUUUUCCUUCCUCAGCAUGUGCCAUGCUGGGCAAUUACAAAUAAAUGCCAGUAGGUCAUUUCCACCUGAGCCAAUCAGGUUUCCAAGGGACUCUAGGUAGGCAUGUCUUUUGUUGGUGAGGGCUUCUUGAUGGAUCUUUGCAAUGGUUUUGCUUUGCAGUGUUUUCAGAACUUGAAAAGGAAUUUUUUUCUUUGUCAGAUGUACAUUUCUCCUGAUUUCUUUCAGGGUCUUUUGUAAUACAUGUUGCUCAGGGACACUCAGGAAUUCUUUUUAUCUUUCUGUGCAACAGAAUAACAAUAAGCUUAUUAAGCUGUCCUUUUUCAGGUGUCUUUUUUUAUAUAUAGCUUAACAUAAAUGCCAAAUGAACUGAUGCUAGGAAGUACUUCCAGAAUAUCAGUAAAACAUAUCAUGACUGAUGCAGCACAAUAAGAAGCAAUGCACUUUGGUAGAUCAGAUGCUUAGAGAUAAGUUGGGUGUUGGGGAGCCUCUUAAACACAGUCAUAGAUAACAAU